GGCCAGGCUGGUCUCUAACUGCCAACCUCUAGUGAUUCUCCUGCCUUGGCCUCCCAAAGUGCUGGGAUUAUCCCUGAAUUUAUACAUGAAGAAACUUAGGUGCAGAUAAAUUGAGUGAAUAAUCCCAGAUUGCACAACUUUUCUUUGCUGGAUCCAGGAUUUGCACUCAAGUCAUUGUUACCAAUAGCCUAUGCUCCAAUCACUACACUGUACUAACCUUUGUAAGUCCUUAUUUGCUCAUUUGGGUAGUGUGAAUUUAUUUAUCUGAUAAAAUAUCAGGUGCUUUUGGUGUUCAUAUCUGGGUAAAUUACACAUCUCCCCCUUUCUGGUAUUCUUCCUUCUUUCUAUUGAAACUGACAGCGGGACUUUUUGUUCCAGCUUAGUUAACUAGGUGUAUUAGUCAGGGUUCCCUAGAGGGACAGAACUAAUAGCAUAGAUAUACAUAUACAUAUAUCUAAAAGGGAAUUUAUUAAGUAUUAACUUACACGAUCAUAAGGUCCCAAAAUAGGCUAUCUGCAAGCUUGAGGAGCAAGGAGAGCCAGUCCGAGACACAAAACUGAACCUGGAGUCUGAUAUUUGAGAGCAGGAAGCAUUUUCAUGUUUUUCUGCCUGCUCUGUAGUGGCUGGCAGCUGAUUAGAUUAUGCCCACAAGAUUAAGAGUGGGUCUGCCUUCCCCAGUCCACUGACUCAAAUGUUAAUCUCCUUUGGCAACACCAUCACAGACACACACAGGAUCAAUACUUUGCAUCCUUUAAUCCAAUCAAGCAUUAACAAUCACACUAGGUGAGAUGGGAAUGCUGUGCCAGGUGAUAAAAGGGUUUUUGUGCAGUGCUGAUAUUUCUUGCCCAGAGUUGUGAGAGUUACAUGAGAUUAAAGAAGAUAAAUAGAAGAAAGUGUAAAUAGAAAGAAUCUUACACAAGAUCCUUACACAAGGAUCUUGAAGACAUGUGGCCAAUCUAUUGACUUAAAAGCUGAGUAAAAUUUUACUACCUUGUGAUUGCUCAUAAAACACAGGAUGGAUGUGAAUAUAGGAUUUAUAGUUCUUAAGUGUUUCCCUUUUUUGAUAAUUGGCUUCCUCUUAAGAAUUAUGAUGCUCAAUUACACAUAUAAGAGAUUACAUAUAUGAGAGAUUACUCUACAUCAGGGUCACCCUGAGGGAGGAUGCUGGUGGUGUAUUGAAGGAUCCUAGCUCUGAUCCUGCCCAUUUCAAUAUUGUAUCAGUAUCUGAGAUAAAGUACAGUAGGUGCUUAUCUGUUUGUGGAUGAUCUAAAGCUUUAGAUUUAGUUUUUAUUGAGUUUUGUAUUUUUUUUAAUGAUUUUGAAAGAUAUAGUAUUAAAAUGUAAUUAUUUUAAAUUGUGGCCAAUUUAAAGGUUUUCAUAUACAUUCUUAGAGCUGUAUUUAACUACCAAAUUUAUGUCAUUAUACUUAUGUAUUCGAAUAGAAAAACUCAAUUUAUUCUUAUAUAUUUAAAAGGGACUUUCUUUUGCCUACAUCUGUGAGUGAUAGCUAACCCCGUAUAAAACUAAAACUAGAUUUGAAAAUUUCUUACGUCAGGGACUGUUUUCUUUACUACCCUGUUUUUCACAUGGUGCUCAACCUUAUGUUUUGUAUAUAAUUGAUACUUUUUCCAUAUUGUUGAUUCAAUGUGAAUUUUUAAAAUUAAGAACUAAGUCUUAGGAAGUUGUAAGAUACUUGUUUACAUGCUGUAAGUCAGGGCUUCUCCUAAUAAGAGAUUGUAUGAUUGAGUUAUGUGCUAACAUGUUUAUGCUUGGCUAGUUGACUUCAAGUGCUCAAACACAGCAACUAAUUGCCCCAUUGAAGAUGUCUAACAUUAUUAGAUAUUAAGAUAUUUCAGACCCAUACUAAAUCAUUCAUUUGAAUAUAGUAUAAGAAACUUCUUUAUUGAGGAAAA